rnacentral:rRNA from 1 species
AGUCUCAUGGUAUUUUUUACACACUCUAAAGUAACAGAAUGUAUUUGUGCAUAACGCAUAUAAUAACAACUUUCAACAACGGAUCUCUUGGCUCUCGCACCGAUGAAGAACGCAGCGAAAUGCGAUAAGUAAUGUGAAUUGCAGAAUUCAGUGAAUCAUCGAAUCUUUGAACGCACCUUGCACUCUUUGGUAUUCCGAAGAGUACGCCCGUUUGAGUGUCAUUGUAAUCUCACCUCUACAGCUUUGUUGUUGUGGAAAGUGGACUUGGGCCUUGUUGUGUAACAACGACUGGCUUGAAAUGGAUGAGUGUACCCUGCUGCUGCAGCGUCUUCAGUGUGAUAAGCAUCUUCACUGAUCAAAGUUCCUUUGGGACACGAAUGCAAAGUGGGCUCUGCGCUUCCAACCGUCUGUUGACAGACAAUACUUGACAAUUUGGCCUCAAAUCGGGUGGGACUACCCGCUGAACUUAAGCAUAUCAAUAAGCGGAGGA